ensembl:lncRNA
AAAUGACAGAGUCAAAUUUGAUGGCUUUCAAAAUGUAUUGCUUGUAUUUGUUUCCAGUGUUUUUUUUAACAUAAAUAUGCACAAAAUGCAUAACCAUGCCAAGUCACAUUUGGCCUUCUGAUAUGUAACAAUGUUUGGGAACACCUGACAGAAAUUGAACUUUUUCCCCAAAAAUCAUAUGUAUGAUAGAAGCAUUUGUAUACAAUCAAGUGAUAAUAUAUAUAAAACAACAUUGUAUCUUAACAUUUUUAUCUUGGAGCUAACAAAGGCCCAACAUCCAAAGGGGCUGAAUAGUGAAAUGCCCCAUAUCGAAACACUAUUGUGUUUGAAGUCUGCCAUACAGAUUAUGGACCUUGGGGGACAUCUUCUGCUGAUCAAGCUCCAUGAUUAUCUUCUGGAGCACUUUAAAAGUGAAAUGAAGUGGUUUUGGGUAAGAGAGGUUGAGUAUCAAUCCCAGAAGCAGGGCACAAGCUGAAACGGACAGCUUUUGACAGUUGAUGCAACACCUCCACACCCUCAAUGACGAUGCUAAUGUCUUCAGGUGGCUCCUGCAGUCCUUUCCCCUCUUUCCGAAAGACAACAAAUAUUGCCAUGGUGAUUUGCUCCAGGUCCCUCCGAGCAUCAUCUGCACUUGAGUCCUACACUUGCCAGUAAAGGUAUCUCGAGUAACUACCGUACCGGAGCUCUUCUGUGCUGCACGUCAACACUUUGAGACGAACAAGGAGCAUCAAUCUAACGUAAAUGCUUUUCAAUGUAUGUUACAUCUUUAGUUUCAAUGAGCAUGCAUCUAAAAUUGAAUGAAUAAUAUUCCCCAAAUUCCAAUUAACUACACUUCCGGCUGUUACAGAGGGGAAACGCUGUAAUCUGUGAACUUUGAACAGUUCAUAUAUUGUUCAUAGUUUGUAGUUAAAGUUGUAAAAAUAACAACGUGGGGGUACCGACAGGGGGGGGUAUCGACUUUGGGGCACCCCUCCGUCGACCGGACCGUUCGGACCGUCGAGACAAGAGGGCUCGAAAGGGAUGUUUAAAAAUUUGGAUUCAAGAGUUUAAACAUUUCCGACUUGACUGGCCUUGGCGGCCUGAGCCGAAUUUUUGGUUUCCAUUGGGACAAAACUCAAAAAUCGUUCUUUAUUGAUUCUUUAAAGCCUUUGCUUUCAAGAUCAAGAUGAAAGGGUCAUAGAAAAAGAAACGGUACAGCAAAGUGUUUUAUGCACCAUGUGAAGUGGAUGAGCUCCAUCAAUACAAAUACACCGUCCACACACACGUUUACUUUAAAGGCCCAUUUCUAUAUUCUAGAUACCUUCACUGUAAACAUAGACAGGUGACAUCAGGAUUUCUCCAUGUUCCAUGUCCGUGUUCCAAAUUCCAUGCUCCAUGUUCCAUGCUCCAUGUUCCGUGUUCUAUGUUCCAUGUUCCGUGUUCUGUGCUCCAUGUUCCGUGUUCUAUGCUCCAUUCCCCACAGUAUAAGAAACACAGUCUGAGGCACAUUUAGUCAGUUAGUUUCAAACCUCACAUCUGCACACACUGAAGUUUUCCGGACAGAAAACUGCAGAAAGCGAUCGUCACGCCUCAGGAGUCUGAAGAGGAGAUGAAGACGCGUUUUGCUGCACUCAACAGAGCUCGAGGUAAGUGAGAAAUCCAGACAGACUGCAGCCGUACUGCUGUGAAUCAUGUGUUUGUACUAUCGGGUAAGGGAAGCUGUGACGUAGAGUUAGUACCUUGUGAUAAACCUCUGAUUCCUGCUGUUAUCAUGUACAUGUACACAGAGACACUAACGUAUAAAAGUACUUACACAGAGGCACUCACAUAUAAAAGUACUUACACAGAGACACUAACGUAUAAAAGUACUUAGACAGAGACACACGUAUAUAAAAGUACUUACACAGAGACACUAACGUAUAAAAGUACUUACACAGAGACACACACACAUAUAAAAGUACUUAGACAGAGACACACACACACACACAUAAAGGUAUUUACACAGAGACACACACACAAAUAACAGACCAGAGUUGUCAAGUUACUGUACUUAAGUAGAAAUUUGGGUUAUCUAUACUUUACUGGAGUAUUUAUUUUCAGACGGCUUUUUACUUCUACUCCUUACAUUUCCACUUAAAUAUCUGUACUUUCUACUCCUUAAAUCUUAAAAACAGCCUCAUUACUUCCGGCUUGUCCCAUGUUCAAAAACACAAAAAAAACCCAUCUAGAUAAAUGGCGCUACUUUUACUUAAGUAAAAAGCUUGAGUCGAUACUUCAACUUCUACAGGAGUCUUUUUAAACCCUAGUAUCUGUACUUCUACUUGAGUAAUAAAUGUGAAUACUUUUGACCCCUCUGAACAGAACAUAUAACACACUUACAGUGUUGGUAGGCCCAGAGAUGCACAAAACAUGAAAAGCAUACACAGAAAUACACCUUAAAAACCACAAAUAUAUAAUGUAGACUUACACACACAUAGAAACAUGAAAUAAUUAAACAAAAGUGUAUCAAAUUAAAAUAAUUGGACCUAUGAAUGUUGUCUCACAUCCUGAUGAUCCUCCUCACGUCUCUUCUCCUUGUCUCUGCAGACCAACAGGACGUCAUCAGGAAGCCAUCAGGACGUCACGCCAUCAGGACGCCAUCAGGACGUCACGCCAUCAGGACGCCAUCAGGAUGCCACGCCAUCAGGAUGUGCUGAGAGUCGCCCCCUCAGGAGCAGCGCCAGAUCUACGCAUGACUCAGAUAAGCGCACAACACACACACACACACAUACUCAGAGACAAACUAAUAUUUAGAUGUAGGAUUCAGGAAUCAGGAAACAUUUAUUAGCCAAAAUAUCUCAAACAUAAAAGGAAUUUGUCUUGGCGGUUAGUGCGCGACAGUAGACAGACAGGACAACAGUGCACAAGUAAUAAAAUAAAGUGGAAUGAAAUGCUAAUGCAAUGGGUUAGUAGAAUAAGGCUAAGGCUAUGGGUUCGUAUAAAACAAGGGAAUAAAGUUAAAAAAAUGUAAAUAUUAAAAAGUUAAAAAGAAAAAUAUUAAGCAUAAAGUGCACUAACGAACAAGUAACAGACAAGAGACGAAGUGACUGUACACAAAGACACACUAAUAUUUAAUUGUUGACAUAGACAUAUUAAUAUUUCGAUGUACACAUAGAUCAUUAAUAUUUCGAUGUACACAUAGGCACACUACCUGUAAGAGGC